rnacentral:rRNA from 1 species
GACGAACGCUGGCGGCGUGCCUAAUACAUGCAAGUAGAACGCUGAAGGAGGAGCUUGCUCUUCUGGAUGAGUUGCGAACGGGUGAGUAACGCGUAGGUAACCUGCCUGGUAGCGGGGGAUAACUAUUGGAAACGAUAGCUAAUACCGCAUAGCAGUAGAUGUUGCAUGACAUUUGCUUAAAAGGUGCAAUUGCAUCACUACCAGAUGGACCUGCGUUGUAUUAGCUAGUUGGUGGGGUAACGGCUCACCAAGGCGACGAUACAUAGCCGACCUGAGAGGGUGAUCGGCCACACUGGGACUGAGACACGGCCCAGACUCCUACGGGAGGCAGCAGUAGGGAAUCUUCGGCAAUGGACGGAAGUCUGACCGAGCAACGCCGCGUGAGUGAAGAAGGUUUUCGGAUCGUAAAGCUCUGUUGUAAGAGAAGAACGAGUGUGAGAGUGGAAAGUUCACACUGUGACGGUAUCUUACCAGAAAGGGACGGCUAACUACGUG